UCGGGCUGAAGACUCUACUUGACUAGCUGAGAGGAGGUGCAUGGCCGUCGUCAGUUCGUACUGUGAAGCAUCCUGUUAAGUCAGGCAACGAGCGAGACCCACGCCAACAGUUGCCAGCUCGUCCUCCGGGAUGGUGGGGACACUGUUGGGACCGCCUCUGCUAAAGAGGAGGAAGGAAUGGGGCAACGGUAGGUCAGCAUGCCCCGAAUUAUCUGGGCUACACGCGGGCUACAAUGGGUGGGACAAUGGGUAUCGACACCGAAAGGUGAAGGCAAUCUCCUAAACCCAUCCGUAGUUCGGAUUGUGGGCUGCAACUCGCCCACAUGAAGCUGGAAUCUGUAGUAAUCGUGUCUCAAAAUGGCACGGUGAAUAUGUCCCUGCUCCUU
rnacentral:rRNA from 1 species